rnacentral:tRNA from 1 species
GGAGAGGUGGCCGAGCGGCUGAAGGCGAUAGUUUGCUAAACUGUUGUACGGAUUAAAGUCUGUACCGGGGGUUCGAAUCCCCCCCUCUCCGC